UACGAAGGGUGCAAGCGUUACUCGGAAUUACUGGGCGUAAAGCGUGCGUAGGUGGUGAGUUAAGUCUGUCGUGAAAGCCCCGGGCUCAACCUGGGAAUGGCGAUGGAUACUGGCUCGCUAGAGUGCGGUAGAGGAGAGUGGAAUUCCUGGUGUAGCGGUGGAAUGCGCAGAUAUCAGGAGGAACACCGGUGGCGAAGGCGGCCUGCUGGGCAGUUGCUGACACUGAGGCGCGACAGCGUGGGGAGCAAACAGG
rnacentral:rRNA from 1 species